UCCUGGUUAACCCAGGCAGUCUCAAUAGAGUUCCCACCAUCACGUGUUGGCAACUAUUGAUAAGGGUUGCGCUCGUUGCGGGACUUAACCCAACACCUCACGGCACGAGCUGACGACAGCCAUGCAGCACCUGUGCAGUGGCCCUUACGGGAAACAACAUUUCUGCUGUCGUCCACUGCAUGUCAAGUCUGGGUAAGGUUCUUCGCGUUGCAUCGAAUUAAACCACAUGCUCCACUGCUUGUGCGGGUCCCCGUCAAUUCUUUUGAGUUUCACCCUUGCGAGUGUACUUCCCAGGCGGUAUACUUAACGCGUUAGCUCCGGCACAACCGGGGUUGAGUCCAGUUACACCAAGUAUACAUCGUUUACAGCAAGGACUAC
rnacentral:misc_RNA from 1 species